UUGGAUAUUAAUGUAAUUUUAUUAAUAGAAAAAUGGUUAAGUGAUUUAUGGCACAUCCAAUUCAAGCAGAUGUUAAAUGUGAUAUAGCUGUUAAGCAUAUUAAUCUUUAUUGUAGUGACCAAAAAAUAUGUUGAAAACACUCGUACUGAAUAAAACAAAUAUAAUGAGUAACAGUGGCUUUUUCUGAGAAAAGGACUGGAAUUAUGAAUAAUGCUUGGUGAGAGAGAUUUUGAACAUUCUACUCUGUACACUCAAUUUUUAGAAUAACUUUUAAUCUACCUUUGUAUUACAAUACAUGUACAUUAAAAUAGUCAGUUUCAAAAGAUAUAUCUGAAACUAUUCAUGAACAUUUAGAUAAAGUUAAUAUUAUCUUGCAACUCUGAUCUUGUGUAUAUUAUCUGAUAAUAUUAUUCAUGCAACCUGUAGGAAUCAAAAAUUCAACCCUGAUAACUUUUGACUCAUUAAUUUUAACUUUUUAUUUUGAGAUAUUGUAGAUACAUAAGCAGUUAUAAGAAAUAAUACAGAUAGAACUCAUAUGUCCUUCACCCCCAAUGGUAAUAUUUGCUUAGCAAUUGACUCAUUAAAUUUUAUAUGAAAAAAAUGCUUAGUGCAUUUCUUUACAGGAAAAAUACAUUUUCAAUUACUUUCUCAACUUAUAAAAUGACUUUGGAUUAAAAAUAGAGGUACAUAGAUUUAUGUCUUAGCUUUUGGUAAGGAUUUUUAUAUGUAUUCAAAUAUUGCAGGAAGAUAUUAUAUGAAACCAAUUUUCUUUAAUUCAAUAGUUACCAAAAUUUCAAUUGUGCACCACUAUUAAUAAAAAAUAUAUAAAAUGCAUAUAUGUGCUAGAGUACUAACAAUAGUUAAAUUACAGACAUAAAAUAGAAAAAUGAGAUGAAAAAUACAUUAACAUAUUUGGCAAAUACUGUUUAUUGUACCUAAAUAUGAUAUGAAUUUUAUUAAAAGUAUUAUUUUACGCUUUUUUAAUAUGCUUAAUUAUAUUUGAAAAUCUUGUUUUAUUCUUUUGAAAUAAAGCAGUUCAAACAUGCAUACCUGUUAGAAUUGGAAAAGGAAAAAGUGUCUCCACAAAACAAAAGCACCUUAUUUCUGUGUUUUUGAAUGUGUGUACAUGUGAGUACUUAAUUAUCAUCACAAAAAGAUGGAGGUUGAAGACAAAAAAAAAGAAGAGCAAAUUGAUAGAAUGAAGUCCCAGAGGAUGUAGAAGAAAGAAGGGUUCUGAUGCAUGAUUCUUGGCUAGGAGGAGCACUGCUUCACCUGAAAGAGAAGAAAGGGGAUUUUGAAAGACAGGUAGAUGUAGAUGUUGUGACUACUUCACUUUAGACAAAGUUUCUCAUCUUACUUGAGAAAAAAACAAAUGCUGGCUUUCAUCAGAUUUAAGCAGAAAAAGGGGAGUCCACUGAAUCUAUAGUUUAUCCAUUUUUUGCAACAGAAAUUUAAUUUAUAAAGUUUUAAUAGGCCAGAUGUUUAUGGCUUAUUGUAUUAUAAUUGUUUAUUGGUUCCAGCUCUUGUAAGCACGGUUACUUGAUGAGACCGAGAUCUUCAUAAUCUAUAUUCUAACGAACUAUGUGCUAACAACACUGAUGUCUAAACAGAACUGGAAGUUUAACAUUACAAGAUGAAGAUUUCACAUAUUCUUUUUUUUCUUUUUUUUUGGUCUGCUUAUAUACUCCUGUUUGCUUCAUUCGUCACAAGUUAGAUUCUUUGAAGGCACGUGUUGAAAGAUGUUUAUUAUGAACCAAAACCUGUGAAGGGAAGAGGAGGAAGCAGGAUUGUGCAGAGAAAGAAGUUCAAGAGUUGUGCAGGCUCAGCAAACCUCAAUCAACUUAGUGGGAAGCUCAAAAGUGAGAUUUCUCAUCCCAGAGUCCUGGUUUGGUUGGGAUGGCCAGGCCUUUAUAUCCCUGCUUCAUUUAGUCACUCCAUGUAAGCUGCCCUGGGAAGGACGUGACUUCUGCCAAUGCUGUAGCUGAGGAAGCCCUUAAGGAAGUAGCUACAGAGCUCUGUGAUUCUAUCUUUAGAGCAUAGACAGAGCAUAUCCACCAAUUGUUGACCUAUGAAGUGUUAUAUAUAUAUUGAAUAUGCCUAGUCAGGCUACAUCAAUUACAUUCCCUAGCUAAAUAUUAGAACUUUAUUUUGCUAUCGUUUGCACAUCGUGUCCUCCUCACCACCCCGUCUCCUACCUUUCAGUGCCAAAACCAAAAUAUGCCAAAUUAUUCCCUAAAUCACAUCAGGGCAUUUGACUCUCAAAAUUCAAGAAAAGGACAUACAGUCUUCUCUUUACAUCUGAGAUUGCCGCAUCCAUGGAUUCUGCCAAUUGCUGAUCAAAAAUAUUUUGGAAAAAAAUUUUACAAAAUUCCAAAAAACAGAACUUGAAUUUGCUGUGUGCUGAGUAUGACAUUGAAUUCAUGUGAUGAAGCAAUGUUGGGCAUUGCAUUAGCAGUUAUAAGUAACCUAGUGAUGAUCUGAAGUAUUCAGGAGGAUGUGUAUAGGUCAUAUGCAAGCACGACACCAUUUUAUAAAAGGGACUUGAGCAUCCAGAAAUGUUGGUAUCUGCAGGGGUUCUGGAACGAAUCUCUCAUGGAUACUGAGAGACAACUGUAUUCUCAUGACACAGAGGUAACUUUGGACUCAGCGAUUAAGUGAUGAGUCAGACAUAUUAACAAACCUGGACAGAAAACAUAAAAGCAGGACACCAUAUGGACCUAUAGAAUCAGGCACUCUUAGGGUCAACAGGGCAGAUGUGUGUCAAAACAUACAAACAAAAAGUUCCUCAGUUUGAUUGGAAUGACUAAGAAACCCCUAUUCCAUAAUAAGCUGUAUAUAAGUUAUGAAGAAGUAAGUUCUGAAAGUGUAAUUAAGCAUGGAGAUUUGGGACAGCUGAUAAAACAGAACAACCUGAUGGAGGUUAGUACAGUUGCCUUGACCUCUUUCCUGGUGGCACUUUUGGAAGGAGAUGAUUUUGCCUCCCAUAUGCCAUAAAAAAGCGCAUAUAGCAUAAAAAUAUAAUAUAGAAGUGAGAGUAAUAUGUACAAAGGAAUCCAAUCUGUGCCAGACAUGAAGUAACUUGACCAGGAAAAUGUCAGAAACAAGACUGGGAUGUAAAAGGUGAGUAAAGCUCUCAGGAUAAGGAUUUGUAUCUAUGCUCACCUUGGUUCUCUCUUGCACAUAUCAGGGCAUCAAUAAAUAUUUAUGAGAAGGAGUUACAAGGAAGUAGAACAGGUAACUAAGUUCAUGAAGAAGUGGAGGUAGCACUGACUGCAGGUACGUGGCAGCACCCAUCUGCUGUACCGAUGCCUGAUGGUGGAUUGGACAGAAAACGUGGGAGGCAAAAGUCAUCUCCUUCCAAAAGUGCCUCCGGGAAAGAGGCCAAGGCAACUUUGCCAGGACUACUCCUAACCUCCAUCAGCAGGCUCACCAGCACAUUGAGUUUCCUAGUUUAACAAGAAAGCAUCUGCAAAUGUGUAGCGAGAUGAUUGAACUACAUUUUAUGAUUUAAAAUAAACAUUGAAUAUUUCUAAUAAAAAAUGAAUUUAUAUAAUGUCUGUUAUGCAACCUUGGCCAAUUGUGUUUACUACACGUUUCCUUAAACAUGCCAGAACAGAAAUAUUUUCUGUAAACACUUAAUUACAGAAUAUUUUUGAAUUGACCCGAAUUUUCAGUAAAUUAAAUGUGAGUAAUCUAUGCAAUUUUUAAGAUUCAAAUGUUUUAUUUAGCUCUAAUUAUUUAGGCAGAAUAAACUUGAAAGUAACAAUUUAAUACAUUAAUUUUCUAUUUCAGAUUAUAAAUUCCUUGCUUACUCAUAGCAAAAAAUUUGAAACAUAAUUAUGUAAUAAUUGCCUUAAAUUUGUUCUUUAUUUUUCCUGUGUCAUCAGAGACUUGAUGUUAUUAUGGCAUUCUGUAACUAAAGUUAAAUAUUUUACUUUAACAGAAAACUCAUGUUAAUCCUCUUUUCCCAAAACAUCUUUCCAUAAACACAAAUUUUCUUCCCUUCCUCUUGUUUUGUCCUUUUCUUCUCUCAGAUUCUGUUUUUCUCUCUCUCUUAUACAAACACACACAGCUCACACACACACAAAGUCAUUUUGUUACUAUAUAGUAGAUGGAGUACUCAUUUUAAUUCCAGGGCAUAGCCUAUUGUAUUAGUCAGGGUUUUCUAAAGGUGCAGAAGUAAUAGGAUAGAUGUGUAUAUGAAGGGGAGUUUAUAAAGGAGUGCUGACUCACACAAUCCAAGGUGAAGUCCCACAAUAGACCACCUGCAAGCUGAGGAGCAAGAAAGCCAGUCCAAGUCCAAAAAACUCAAAAGUAGGGAAGCCAACAGUGCAGCCUUCAGUUUGUGGCUGAAGGCUUGAAAGCUCCUGGCAAACCACUGGUGUAAGUCCAAGAAUCCAAAAGCUGAAGAACCUGGAGUCUGAUGUUUGAGGGCGGGAAGCAUCCAGCAUGGGAGAAAGGUAAAAGCCUGAAGACUCAGAAACUCAAGUCCUUCCACAUUCUUCUGCCUGCUUUAUUCUAGCCACACUGGCAGCUGAUUAGAUGGUGCCCACCCAGAUUGAAGGUGGGUCUGCCUCUCCUAGUCCACUGACUCAAAUGUUAAUCUCCUUUGGCAACACCCUCAUAGACACACCCAGGAACAAUAUUUUGCAUCCUUCAAUCCAAUCAAGUUGACAACUCAAUAUUAACCAUCACACCUAUUAAUAACACUGGGUGCAUGUAUCAGGCAGCACCAUGUUAACUAAAGGCUUUGCUUUAAUCCCAUAAAGUCCUCACAGUAAUUCCAGGAGCAAACAUUAUUGUUCUUUUUUCACAGAUGAGGAAAAUAAAGCCCAGAGUGUUCCAGUGAUGGGCCUCGAUUCACUCAGCUUCAAGUCGGCCAGACUCCAAUGCGCAGGCUCAAUCAGGUUCAGACUUGGUAUUUGUCUUUCUGGAUCAUGCUGGGGUAUGAUUCUCAUUGCGGACAGAAUAACAACAAGAAGACCUUGAGAAUAAGCAUCAAUUUGUGAGCCCCAAGGGCGAAGAAGCUUUCCUGAAGCAACAACAGGAACAGGAAGCAAAAAGGAUUUGAAAUGAAAUAGCAAGGGUUUUUCCUCUUCUUUCAAACGACCAAGAAAGACCAUAAUCAAAAAAUUAAAAAAAGAUAGAUGUUGGUGUGGAUGCAUUGAACAGUGAACACUUCUACACUGCUGUUGGGAAUGUAAACUAGUACAACCACUAUGGAAAACAGUGUGGAGAUUCCUCAGAGAACUAAAAGUAGAUCUACCAUUGAUCCAGCAAUUACACUACUGGAUAUAUAUCUAGAGGAAAAGAAGUCAUUAUGCAAAAAAAAAAAUACUUGCACACACAUGUUUAUAGCAGCACAAUUCACAUUUGCAAAAAUGUGGAACCAAACCAAAUGCCCAUCAAUCAACAAGUGGUUAAAGAAACUGUGAUACAGACACACACACACACACACACACACACACACACACACACACAAUGGAAUACUACUCAGCCAUAAAAGGAAUAAAUUAAUGGCAUUUUCAAUGACCUGAAUGAGAUUGGAGACUAUUAUUCUAAGUGAAGUAACUCAGGAAUGGAAAACCAAACAUCGGAUGUUCUCAUAAGUGGGAACUAAGCUAGGGGAUGCGAAGGCAUAAGAAUAACACAGUGGACUUUGGGGACUCAGAGGGAAAGGGUGGGAAGGGGCUGAGGGAUUCAAGACUACAAAUAGGGUGCAGUGUACACUGCUCAGUUGAUGGGUGCACCAAAAUCUCACAAAUCACCACUAAAGAACUUACCUAUCUAACCAAACACCAUCUGUUCCCCAAUAAUCUAUGGAAAUAAGUUAAACAACAACAACAACAAAAUCAAAUGACCAUGAGUAAAAUGGGGACAUAAUAGGACUUAUGUCAUAAUGUCAUGAAGAUUUUGGAAAAGAAUAAACAUCAAGUGUUUGUAACAAAGCUUGACACAUGGUAAACACCUAAAACUGUUAGCAAUUGAUAUUAUUUUAUGGAUCAAUUAAAAUUUAAUCCUGACUAUAACAGCAUGGCCUAAUUUUUUUAUUAUGAUUAAAA
rnacentral:lncRNA from 1 species